GGAAAACCUAAAAUUUUCUCUCAAAAUUUCCCUUCUCCUCACGCACGCGGCGCCGUUUCUUCUCUCGGGCGAAAACCCCAGCCAAGGCUAGGGUUCCUCCCUCCGGCGUCGGCGAGGUGUUUUCCGGCCGAUCUCCACCCGUGGGUGACCAUUCCGGCAGGGGAAGCUCGGGGAACACAAGGAAACGGGAGGAAACGAAGCUCUACCGAAACCCUAGGACACUUCUCUUCGGUUGUAAGUCCAAGAACCCGAUAUACGGAUAAAAAUAAAGGAAAAGCUAAAGUGGUGUAGAAGAAGGCGACAGGGAGUCGUUGAUGGUGUGUGUGUGGUGGCUGAUAUGGAAGCUUGGGACCUUGCUAGAAGAAUUUAUAAAUCGUACCUGCUGGUGUUUUUAGUUACUGCUAGAGUAGAAUUUAUUUUGCAUUGCUAAGGAUUGGUAUAGAUUGCUUCAAUGAGAAUCUGCCGUAUGAUUCAUCUUAA